rnacentral:sRNA from 1 species
ACCACCGGUCCGGAGUUUGUGGGUUACCAAAAUUGUCAUUUGAAUCCCCCCAUAGACAUCCCUUGACCGGGGG